rnacentral:sRNA from 1 species
GUAUUGGGAAGGCAGAUAAAAUGCCAGGUCUGGACUGCCUCUGGGCAUAACCUCACCCUGUGGGAUGUGAAUGAAUAGCAUCUUGCCUGGUAAAUCCACAGGAAUUGAUAAGGCAGGCGCAGUUCUCCCAAACAGGCCUUUUCUCUUUAAGCUGUAGCUGUGGUUUCUGCAGCAAUUUUGUUUUUGCCUUGAAAGAGGUGCUCUGGAUUAUCAGACCUCCAUGUAUGACAAUUUGUACCUGCAUGGAAUUGAAGACUCGGAGGCUGGUUCAGCGGAUUCCUACACAAGCAGGCCGUCUGACUCCGAUGUCUCUUUGGAAGAGGACCGGGAAGCAAUUCGACAGGAGAGAGAACAGCAAGCAGCUAUCCAGCUUGAGAGAGCAAAGUCCAAACCUGUAGCAUUUGCCGUGAAGACAAAUGUGAGCUACUGCGGCGCCCUGGAUGAGGAUGUGCCUGUUCCAAGCACAGCUAUCUCCUUUGAUGCUAAAGACUUUCUACAUAUUAAAGAGAAAUAUAACAAUGAUUGGUGGAUAGGAAGGCUGGUGAAAGAGGGCUGUGAAAUUGGCUUCAUUCCAAGUCCACUCAGAUUGGAGAACAUACGGAUUCAGCAAGAACAAAAAAGAGGACGUUUUCACGGAGGGAAAUCAAGUGGAAAUUCUUCUUCAAGUCUUGGAGAAAUGGUAUCUGGGACAUUUCGAGCAACUCCCACGUCAACAGCAAAACAGAAGCAAAAAGUGACGGAGCACAUUCCUCCUUACGAUGUUGUGCCGUCAAUGCGUCCGGUGGUGUUAGUGGGGCCGUCACUGAAAGGUUACGAGGUACAAAUAUCAUCUGUUACUCUUCAGUUCUUGAUCGAGCACCCAGGAGACAGUCAUGUUGACGCUUGCUCCUCAAGGGUCUGUUUCCACGUGGGUCCUGAUGGAAGCCAGUGCUCAGCACGGGAAGGCAGGGGGUACCGUGUGGGGCUCAUGAGGCCCUCUGCCCUUUCUUUCCUCUGUUGCACACUUCUCAUCUUUUAUGUAUUACAUUGUUUAGAAAUACCUCCCUCAAAAUAUUUACAAUGGGAAGAUCUGGUCAAAGAUUUGCUGUACAUUAAAUGCAAAGAAAAGGACUUUAUCUAUCUUGACCAUUCUCAUUAUUAUUAGAAGUAAUAGAGAAUGAACAGCACAAGAGGACAAACAAUCAAUCUUCCAGCAAACCCAAACCUUUAAAGCCCAAACAGAGUUCACCCUGCUGGGUUUUUAAGAUGAUGGCAUAUGCCACCAAAUCCUUCUCUGCUUAUUUAUUUUAAAGGGCACAUGUUUUAAAAGACCACUAAAAACAUUAGUGAACUUUGGAGAUUAAACAAAACCAUGUGACAAGGAAAAGAGUAGAGACUUCGUUUCAGAUGUUUGUUUUGACUUUGUGCUAGCUUGGAUUAAAAAAUAGGUAGACGUGACAUUAAACUCUGAAGGUGAGCAGCCUCCAGGGCACCAUUCCCAUCGAGCUAGGACAAUGUGUGGCACAUAGUAGGCACUCAGUACACAUUUGCUGAAUGAAUUAAUGAAUCGCUUUCAGGCAGAUCUAAGAAUCCUGGCUCUAUCCGCCUCUCUUUCUCUCUUGUCUUUCUCAGAGUUGGGAAUGUCAGAGGGAUGAGCAGGAGAGUGGUCUACAAAAAUCCAGCCAUGGGCAUGGAGAAUUUCUGCCAACAUACACAAACUAGCAGGAAGGCUGAGUCCAGUGCUGGCCUCAGUUCUCUAGCUGCUCCUCACUGGAGGCAGGCACAACUCAGGCGUGCCAAGGAUACCCGGCACCUGUGUACAAAGCCAGCCUGUUGUCUCCUGGCAGCAGUUCUAUCCCCUAACGAGGGAAGAGGGAAGAGGGAAGAGGGUCUGGUGAACACUGCUGGUUUAUUCCUCAACACCCUGGAGGAGAACCAAGGGGGGUGGAAAUUAGCAAUUGCACAUGGUUAAGCAUGAAAAACACCUUCCAUGGUAACCUCCCCCUAGGAGACGAAUGGCUACAAUAAGGUCUUGGCUCAUAGUGCCCUUCCCUCCCUCCUCUCUCCCUUUUGACUUCUCUCUCUCUCUCUCUGUGUGUUUGCCUCAUUCUUUUUUUCUCACCUCUGCAAAGGUAACAGACAUGAUGCAGAAAGCCCUCUUUGAUUUCCUGAAGCACAGGUUUGAUGGGAGGAUAUCAAUAACGAGAGUGACAGCUGACAUUUCUCUUGCUAAGAGGUCUGUCCUAAAUAAUCCCAGCAAGAGAGCAAUAAUUGAACGUUCGAACACCCGGUCCAGCUUAGCGGAAGUACAAAGUGAAAUUGAAAGAAUCUUUGAGUUGGCAAGAUCUUUGCAACUGGUCGUUCUUGAUGCAGACACCAUCAAUCACCCAGCACAACUUAUAAAGACUUCCUUAGCACCAAUUAUUGUUCAUGUAAAAGUCUCAUCUCCAAAGGUUUUACAGCGGUUGAUUAAAUCUAGAGGAAAGUCACAAAGUAAACACUUGAAUGUUCAACUGGUGGCAGCUGAUAAACUUGCACAAUGCCCCCCAGAAAUGUUUGAUGUUAUAUUGGAUGAAAAUCAGCUUGAGGAUGCGUGUGAACAUCUAGGGGAGUACCUGGAGGCGUACUGGCGUGCCACCCACACAACCAGUAGCACACCCAUGACCCCGCUGCUGGGAAGGAAUUUGGGCUCCACGGCACUCUCACCAUAUCCCACAGCAAUUUCUGGGUUACAGAGUCAGCGAAUGAGGCACAGCAACCACUCCACAGAGAACUCUCCAAUUGAAAGACGAAGUCUAAUGACCUCUGAUGAAAAUUAUCACAAUGAAAGGGCUCGGAAGAGUAGGAACCGCUUGUCUUCCAGUUCUCAGCAUAGCCGAGAUCAUUACCCUCUUGUGGAAGAAGAUUACCCUGACUCAUACCAGGACACUUACAAACCCCAUAGGAACCGAGGAUCACCUGGGGGAUAUAGCCAUGACUCCCGACAUAGGCUUUGAGUCUAAUGAAACAAAAAAUAUUCAUCUGUUGACAAUUUGCCAUAGCAGUGCUAGGAUAAACCAAUCAUCUUAACUUGGCUAACAUAGCACAGUAUUUACUGUGCUAAUGGGCUGCUGUCAUUUUAUGC